AUCCCAUUUACCAGCACUUAGCCCACAGCCUUGACUGUUAUGACGUGCCAAGUGCGCAUUCAGGGCUCAGUUGUGGAGUUGGCAUCGGCGGUGAGUGGGCUCAGUGUAAACGCGAAGUGAACUCAGCGUGGACUUACAGCAGUCGGCAACUAAGCCCAGCGUGGACACAAAGUGAGCCCAGUGCUUCUGCAUCAUCAAAGUGUCUUAGUUCCGACUCAUGGCUGCUGUGGCAGAGGCGAAUUUGGAUUCUCUGUGUCGAGCGCAGAUUCGUGGAGGUUCAGGCGAGUUUGGGCCCAGUAUGAGCCCCAGCAUCAGUGGCUACAACAGCAAGGUGGGGCCAAAGUGGACUCAUGGCAGCAAGCAGAGUCGAGUUUGGGCUGGGUGUGGUACACAGCGGCAUCGGUGGUGGCUGUAUUGUCGAGGUCCAGCAAGGACUCAUAGUGGAGGGGGCAUUGAUGGAGGUGUGAUGGUGCUGAAGAUUUGCGACUCUUGUUCCAGCAACGGUGGCGCAGCGAUGGAGACUCGUGGCUGGUCACCAAGCCCGUGAUCCAUGACGGAGCAUUUAACAAGAAGGGCUGUAAAGUUGAACACUGUUUCUUUAUUUCUCUGCCUUUGUGUGGUAUUGUUUUGUUUUAUUUUUCUGUGUUUUAAGGUGGAAGGGGAGAAUGGUGACAUUAUACAACAAUUUUCACUGUAUUUAGAAUAGAAUAGAAUAUAGAAAAGAAUAUCCUUUUAUUGUCAUAUGUACUCCAUUGUAGCUUUUACAAUGUCUGCCUUCGUAUGGCGACAUUUUAGGUACAAGUACCUAGGUACAAUUCUUGGAUACGGUAGUGGAAUAAAAGUAAUUGCAUUACUUUACAGAAUUGAAAAGUAAGCUAAAAAUAGGACAUCAUUAAAGGGUUGACAAUAAAGUAAGUUAAGAAAUUUCAAAUAUACAUUACAUUGUAGUAGCUCAGCACAGGGCCUCUGUGCAUGGUUUGACCACCCCCACCAGACCCCAGUCCAAGAGCUGUCCCCACUCCCCUCCAAGCCCAAGUCCACUCCAUACUGGCACUCAGCUGCUCUUAGGUACAUUCCAGGACUGCCUCCCUCGCGCUGGUCUCCAGCCGCCUGGGACUUGCUGCCUGCGGGCUCCUCCAGGGCUCGCUGCUGGUCUGUUCAGGGCCUUGCAGCCCACAUGCUGCUCCAGGGCUCGCUGCUUGUAGUGUUUGGGAAAUUGCAGCACUAUGAAAUCUUGUGAUUUCAAAUAAACCCGUUGGACCAUAA